UCGCGGUCCGCAUCCUGCGGAUCGCCCUUCGCCCGGAUCGCAGGAUCCGGGCACUUUUUUGCGCGGU
rnacentral:sRNA from 1 species